rnacentral:rRNA from 1 species
GUAGUCUGCAACCCGACUACAUGAAGCUGGAAUCGCUAGUAAUCGCGGAUCAGAAUGCCGCGGUGAAUACGUUCCCGGGUCUUGUACACACCGCCCGUCACACCAUGGGAGUCGGAAAUGCCCGAAGUCUGUGACCCAACCUGAGAGGGAGGGAGCAGCCGAAGGCAGGUCUGAUGACUGGGGUGAAGUCGUAACAAGGUAAC